rnacentral:hammerhead_ribozyme from 1 species
AUCCAGCUGACCAGUUCUAAAUAGAACGAAACACGCUUCCUCGAU